rnacentral:lncRNA from 12 species
GGCUCUGGGGGGGUCCCAAGACGGCCUGGCCCAGAUGUGUCCCCACUGCGGGUCCCUGGGGGUGACACAGUGACAUGGGGUGACACACGGUGACACAGGGUGACACUGAGGGUGACACAGGGUGACCUGGGGGUGACACAGGGGUGAUACAGGGUGACACGGGGUGGCACGGGGGUGACUGAGGGUGACACAGGGUGACACUGGGACACAGGGGUGACACGGGGUGACACAGGGGUGACACAGGGUGACUCAGGGGUGACACAGGGGUGACACAGAUGACUCGGGGUGACCCAGGGGUGACCCAGGUGACAUGGAGGUGACCCAGGGGUGACCCGGGUGACCCCGUGUCCCCCUGUGCCCCGCAGGGCGCGGCUGGCCCUGUCCCGCGCCGCCCGUGUCACCGCGCGGCGCCUGCGGCUGGUGGGGGCCGAGGCCGAGGAACAGCGGCUGGAGGGGGAGCGCCACCGGCUGCAGGUGGGGACAGCGCUGUCACCUACUGUCACCUACUGUCACCUACUGUCACUGCUGUCACCUCCUGUCACUGCUGUCACCUACUGUCACCUACUGUCACCUGCUGUCACUGCUGUCACUGCUGUCACCUGCUGUCACUGCUGUCACUGCAGCCACCUGCUGUCACUGCUGCCCCCCCCCCCCCCCCCCCCCCCCCCCCCCCCCCCCCCCCCCCCCCCCCCCACCGGCUGCAGGUGGGGACAGCGCUGUCACUGCUGUCACCUCCUGUCACUGCUGUCACCUACUGUCACCUACUGUCACCUGCUGCCACUGCUGUCACUGCUGUCGCUGCUGUCACUGCUGUCACCUGCUGUCACCUCCUUUCACUGCUGUCACCUCCUGUCACCCUACAGCCUCCAUGUCCCCACACGUCCUCCCUGUGCCCCCAUGUCCCAAUGCCCGAUGGCACCAUCCCCAGGGCACCUGGGCCUGAUGUCCCCAUUGUCCCCAACGUCCCCAACGUCCCCCAAUGUCCCCCAGUGUCCCCAAUGUCCCCAACGUCCCCCAGUGUCCCCAAUGUCCCCAAUGUCCCCAAUCCCCCCAAUCCCCCAAUGUCCCCAUGUCCCCUCAGGCCCGUGCCAGCGAGGCCGCUGCCCGGCUCCUGGCUGACCAGGUGGCCGCGGUGGCCGCGGGCACGGCCCAAGCGCUGGCCCAGGGCCACCACCUGCGCCGGGAGCUCGAGGACGUCGGGGACGGGGCCGCAGCCACCGCGCGGCACGUGGCCGUGCUCAGGGCGCGCCUCAGGUGGGCACGGGCCCUGGGGAGCCCCUAUGGACCCUAUGGAACCCUACAGACCCCACAGAAACCCUACAGACCCC